AGUAUAGGCUGUGCUGUCAGCCCUGUGUCAGUCUGAUGAAGAUUGGCAUGCAGGCUUUGGCAGGAAGUCGGGACCUUGCUGUGGGCGAGCUAACUUCUCCAUGUGACGCCGUCCCACGAUGCAACAUGUGUCCCCAGCGCCUGCAGUGACGAUGAUGGCCACCCAGAGCGUUCCUCCUCCAUCGUACCAGGAGAGCCAACAGAUGACGGGCACCACUCAGCAGAACACCAAGACCCCGCAGGUCCACCUCCCAGCAGCCUCUGCGGCGGGGAAACACCUCCGUCAGCGUGCCCCUUGACCCCCAGGCGCAGCUGGAGUCUGACAAGCGGGCCGGU